rnacentral:rRNA from 1 species
UGCAAGUCGAACGAACCCGCAAGGGUGAGUGGCGAAAGGGUUAGUAAUGCGAUCGAAUGUACCCCGAGGUGGAGGAUAGCGGGAAGAAAUUCUCGGUAAUACUCCAUGAUGUCUUCGGACCAAAGUUUUGGCGCCUUGGGAGCAGCGAUCGUCCUAUCAGGUAGUUGGCGGGGUAAAAGCCCACCAAGCCUUAGACGAGUAGCGGGUGUGAGAGCACGGCCCGCAACAUCGGAACUGAGACACUGUCCGGACUCCUACGGGAGGCUGCAGUAACGAAUCUUCCGCAAUGGGCGCAAGCCUGACGGAGCAAUGCCGCGUGCGGGAUGAAGUAUCUCUGGUAUGUAAACCGCUGUCAGGGGGCAGAAACAAUGAUUGCCCCCAGAGGAAGUGGCGACUAACUCUGUGCCAGCAGUCGCGGUAAUACAGAGGCCACAAGCAUUAGUCGGAAUCACUGGGCUUAAAGGGUGCGUAGGUUGUCCAUCAAGUGCUUUGUGAAAUCCCACGGCUCAACCGUGGAACAGCAGGGCAUACUGAUGGACUUGAGGCAAGUAGGGGCUGACGGAACAGUAGGUGGAGCGGUGAAAUGCGUAGAUAUCUACUGGAACGCCGAUGGUGAAGACGGUCAGCUGGGCUUGUCCUGACACUGAGGCACGAAAGCGUGGGGAGCAAACAGGAUUAGAUACCCUGGUAGUCCACGCUGUAAACGAUGCGCACUGGACCGGUGCGGUUUUGACGCCGUAUCGGUCGUAGUAAAAACGAUAAGUGCGCCGCCUGGGGGAGUACGGUCGCAAGAUUAAAACUCAAAGGAAUUGACGGGAGCUCACACAAGCGGUGGAGCAUGUUGCUUAAUUCGAGGCAACGCGAAGAACCUUACCUGGGUUUGACAUGCUUGGAUUAACCUCUUGAAAGAGAGGCCACGCCCUUUGGGUGGAACAAGCACAGGUGCUGCAUGGCUGUCGUCAGCUCGUGCUGUGAAGUGUCGGGUUAAGUCCC